GAGUAGCCAGAGGGAAGUCUCUGAGCCGUGAGCUACCCCGAUUCUACACUGGGAAGUUAGGGGUAGAAGAACGCAGGAGCCCAGCACUUACAGCCAGUGGCCCUGGGGGUCUCCUCCAGCUCCACCUCAUGACACCCCGUGCUGCUGCAUGACUGCUGCUGGUGCCAAGGCCACCGCUGCCAUGAGUCUGAAUGGCUAAUGCUGAAAUUAGCAGGGCCUCCCUUCUACUGGCCUGUCCUCCUGGCUCUCCUCCCUUUUGCCUCUUCUGGAUCUCAGGUAACAAAGCACCACAUUAGAUACUGAAGAUAGAAAUUUGCUUAAGAUAUGGUCUCAGCAUUCAACAGGCUGGUGUUCUGGUUGAGAAGGAGUACAUGGAUCUUUCUUUCUCCUAGCCCUGGAGACUAGUUCAAGCGAUUCUCCUGCCUCAGCCUCCCAAGUAGCUGGGACUACAGUAUCCUGCAUAAAACUGCAUUAAAAACCAGUAACAUCAGACCCUGGAUGGGGACGGAAGGUCCAAAUCAGAACCUCCAUGGAAUGCAUCUCUACAUAUUUUCCACAUUUGUUUUCAAGCAAGGAGCAAGACCAGCAAGAAAGUGAGGACUUCCUCUGAUGCACAAACCUGGGAUGUGCUGUGAAAAUCAGCUACCUGGGCUUCCCACCUGUGGAUGCUCACUGACCUGGGGCCACACCAGGUAAUUUCAGGACUUCCUCAGAGAAAACCCAGGCAAGACACCAGCAACAGAGCUACCCUGAUGAUUAUUAAAUUAGCUCUAUGUGGAGAAGCCAUAUUUGAAUAAGCUAUUAGUGGAGGUCCUUUAUAAACCAUGCUCCAUUAUAUAAAUGGCAGAUGUUCAUUAUUUAUAC